rnacentral:rRNA from 1 species
UACGUAGGGUGCAAGCGUUGUCCGGAAUUAUUGGGCUUAAAGAGCCCGUAGGCGGUCUGUCGCGUCGGCUGUGAAAACUCGGGGCUCAACCCCGAGCCUGCAGCCGAUACGGGCAGACUAGAGUUCGGUAGGGGAGACUGGAAUUCCUGGUGUAGCGGUGAAAUGCGCAGAUAUCAGGAGGAACACCGGUGGCGAAGGCGGGUCUCUGGGCCGAUACUGACGCUGAGGAGCGAAAGCGUGGGGAGCGAACAGG